CCUACGGGGAGCAGCAGUGGGGAAUAUUGGGCAAUGGGCGCAAGCCUGACCCAGCAACGCCGCGUGAAGGAAGAAGGCUUUCGGGUUGUAAACUUCUUUUCUCAGGGACGAAGCAAGUGACGGUACCUGAGGAAUAAGCCACGGCUAACUACGUGACAGCAUCCGCGGUAUUACGUAGGUGGCAAGCUUUAUCCGGAGUUACUGGGUGUAAAGGGCGUGUAGGCGGGGACGCAAGUCAGAUGUGAAAACCACGGGCUCAACCUGUGGCCUGCAUUUGAAACUGUGUUUCUUGAGUGCUGGAGAGGCAGACGGAAUUCCUAGUGUAGCGGUGAAAUGCGUAGAUAUUAGGAGGAACACCAGUGGCGAAGGCGGUCUGCUGGACAGCAACUGACGCUGAGGCGCGAAAGCGUGGGGAGCAAACAGGAUUAGAUACCCGUGUAGUC
rnacentral:rRNA from 1 species